rnacentral:rRNA from 1 species
AGUGAACGCUGGCGGUAGGCCUAACACAUGCAAGUCGAACGGCAGCACAGUAAGAGCUUGCUCUUACGGGUGGCGAGUGGCGGACGGGUGAGGAAUACAUCGGAAUCUACUUUUUCGUGGGGGAUAACGUAGGGAAACUUACGCUAAUACCGCAUACGACCUACGGGUGAAAGCAGGGGAUCUUCGGACCUUGCGCGAUUGAAUGAGCCGCUGUCGGGUUAGCUAGUUGGCGGGGUAAAGGCCCACCAAGGCGACGAUCCGUAGCUGGUCUGAGAGGAUGAUCAGCCACACUGGAACUGAGACACGGUCCAGACUCCUACGGGAGGCAGCAGUGGGGAAUAGUGGACAAUGGGCGCAAGCCUGAUCCAGCCAUACCGCGUGGGUGAAGAAGGCCUUCGGGUUGUAAAGCCCUUUUGUUGGGAAAGAAAAGCAGCAGGUUAAUACCCCGCUGUUCUGACGGUACCCAAAGAAUAAGCACCGGCUAACUUCGUG